GCUCCGGUAGUGCAGUGUUUAGCACGGGUUCCCGUAAAGGGUGAGACGCGGGUUCAACUCCCGCCCGAGGUU